rnacentral:rRNA from 1 species
UACGUAGGGUGCAAGCGUUAAUCGGAAUUACUGGGCGUAAAGCGUGCGCAGGCGGUUGUGCAAGACCGAUGUGAAAUCCCCGGGCUUAACCUGGGAAUGGCAUUGGUGACUGCACGGCUAGAGUGUGUCAGAGGGGGGUAGAAUUCCACGUGUAGCAGUGAAAUGCGUAGAGAUGAUGGAGGAAUACCGAUGGCGAAGGCAGGCCCC